AAGAGUAUAGCUUAAACCUAAAACGCCUCGCUUACACCGAACUAAUGCCUGUUAAACCCGGGCUACUCUUAAG
rnacentral:tRNA from 1 species